UACGUAGGGUGCGAGCGUUGUCCGGAAUUACUGGGCGUAAAGAGCUCGUAGGUGGUUUGUCGCGUUGUCCGUGAAAACUCACAACUCAAUUGUGGGCGUGCGGGCGAUACGGGCAGACUGGAGUACUGCAGGGGAGACUGGAAUUCCUGGUGUAGCGGUGGAAUGCGCAGAUAUCAGGAGGAACACCGGUGGCGAAGGCGGCCUUCUGGACAGUGACUGACGCUGAGACGCGAAAGCGUGGGGAGCAAACAGG
rnacentral:rRNA from 1 species